rnacentral:rRNA from 1 species
ACGGGAGGCAGCAGUGGGGAAUAUUGGGCAAUGGGCGAAAGCCUGACCCAGCCACGCCGCGUGAAGGAAGAAGGUCUUCGGAUUGUAAACUUCUUUUAUCAGGGACGAAGAACGUGACGGUACCUGAUGAAUAAGCCACGGCUAACUACGUGCCAGCAGCCGCGGCAAUACGUAGGCGGCAAGCGUUAUCCGGAUUUACUGGGUGUAAAGGGCGCGUAGGCGGGGAUGCAAGUCAGAUGUGAAAUCCAUGGGCUUAACCCAUGAACUGCAUUUGAAACUGUAUCUCUUGAGUGUCGGAGAGGUAGACGGAAUUCCUAGUGUAGCGGUGAAAUGCGUAGAUAUUAGGAGGAACACCAGUGGCGAUGGCGGUCUACUGGGCGAUAACUGACGCUGAGGCGCGAAAGCGUGGGGAGCAAACAGGAUUAGAUACCCUGGUA